rnacentral:rRNA from 1 species
AACGAACGCUGGCGGCAGGCUUAACACAUGCAAGUCGAACGCAUCCUUCGGGGUGAGUGGCAGACGGGUGAGUAACGCGUGGGAAUCUACCCAUCUCUGCGGAAUAGCUCCGGGAAACUGGAAUUAAUACCGCAUACGCCCUACGGGGGAAAGAUUUAUCGGGGAUGGAUGAGCCCGCGUUGGAUUAGCUAGUUGGUGGGGUAAAGGCCUACCAAGGCGACGAUCCAUAGCUGGUCUGAGAGGAUGAUCAGCCACAUUGGGACUGAGACACGGCCCAAACUCCUACGGGAGGCAGCAGUGGGGAAUAUUGGACAAUGGGCGCAAGCCUGAUCCAGCCAUGCCGCGUGAGUGAUGAAGGCCUUAGGGUUGUAAAGCUCUUUCACCGAUGAAGAUAAUGACGGUAGUCGGAGAAGAAGCCCCGGCUAACUUCGUGCCAGCCGCCGCUGUAA